rnacentral:rRNA from 1 species
UACGGGGGGGGUAAGUGUUGUUCGGAAUUACUGGGCGUAAAGGGCUCGUAGGCGGCCAACUAAGUCAGACGUGAAAUCCCUCAGCUUAACUGGGGAACUGCGUCUGAUACUGGAUGGCUUGGAUUCGGGAGAGGAAUGCGGAAUUCCAGGUGUAGCGGUGAAAUGCGUAGAUAUCUGGAGGAACACCGGUGGCGAAGGCGGCAUUCUGGACCGACAUUGACGCUGAGGAGCGAAAGCCAGGGGAGCAAACGGG